AGGGAAUAGCUCAGUGGUAGACCGUAUGCUUAGCAUGCAUGAGGUCCUGGGUUCAAUCCCCAGUACCUCUG
rnacentral:tRNA from 1 species